AUGUGAGUUUUCAUUUCUCAAUGUGCGAGUCCUGUAAUUUGAUCUGUAUACAACAAACAAGGAGAUUUACUCUCUGCAUUUUCUCCAACAGAAAAAAAUAAAAAUAAAGCUGCUGUUACCUUCUCUUUCCUAAAAACUCUGUUCUUUUUCAUUUUCUGUAUCUUUCUUUAUAUGUCAAUACCAAUCCCAACUCUGCAUAGCUUUCUGCAACUGUCACAAUAUAUAUAUAUAUUGAGAAAAUAGAGAGACAUUCCUACAUUUUAUGUCCAUCCCAUUUAUCAAGACUCAAUCUUUAGGGUGAUCUGAGGAUUUGGAUUGCUUGGUUUGUAAGGGAAUAGAGAGAGUUGUUUCAGAAUUGGCAUUGGUUGGAUUGGUUGUGUGUUGUGUGAGAGAAUUGUGAGUCAUUGGUAGUUGAUGUGUCAUAAUGUUUUAGGAGGGGCUUUUCACUGAUCUGCCAUUUGAUUGUUGUACUUGGUGAUUGUGGAGACUUGUGGUAUUGGAAUUUCACCUGAUUUGUAAUCUUGUUUAGUUUGGUAUGAUUGGAGAAUUUCUUUAUGUUGAGCUUAGGUAGUGGUUUAAACAGAUGCCAGUUGAAAUUGUUUGGAUUUUGGGUGAUAUAUAUGGGAGAUGGUCUCUGAUGAUAUAUUACAUUUUUCAUAGUUGUUGGAGGUUCAGGUUGAAGCAAUAGCUACCACCUAGUGGUCUAAUUCAACUCGAUUUUCGAAGGGGUUCUUGAAACUUGGCCAUGAGAAGCCCUUUGGUCAAUAAACUAUCAUUAAUUUUCGGCCCUAGACCGCCACUCAACCGAAUACUCUUGUGUCUGGUCAGUGUCUGUGUGCUACUAGUAUUGUUAUCAUCAUUUUCUACUACUACCUUUGACUCGGCGACUUCCUAUGCAAAGCCUGAUAUCUAUACAAAUUAUAGAAAGCUAAAGGAGCAAGCAAGAAAUGAUUAUUUAGAGCUUAAGAGCAUUUCUCUGGGAGCUAACCUGAUUAAGGAUGUUGGUCUUUGUGGGAAGGAAAGAGAGAAUUAUGUGCCUUGCCAUAAUGUAUCGGCAAAUCUGUUAGCUGGGCUUAAAGAUGGGGAGGAAUUUGAUAGGCACUGUGAGUUAUCGCAAGAACACCAAAAUUGUUUGGUUCGUCCUCCCAAGGAGUACAAGAUUCCACUGACUUGGCCAGCAGGUAGGGAUGUCAUAUGGAGUGGAAAUGUGAAGCUAACCAAAGAUCAGUUCCUUUCUUCUGGAAGCAUGACAAAAAGGCUAAUGUUAUUGGAAGAGAACCAAAUAGCUUUCCAUUCAGAGGAUGGAAUGAUUGUUGAUGGUGUCAAAGAUUACUCUCACCUUAUUGCGGAUAUGAUUGGUCUAGGAAGUGAUACAGAGUUUCUUCAAGCCGGUGUGCGCACCGUGCUGGAUAUUGGUUGUGGAUUUGGUAGCUUUGGUGCCCAUCUACUCUCAUUGAGGUUGAUGGCUCUUUGUGUGGCACCAUAUGAACCAUCUGGUAGCCAAGUUCAGUUAGCACUCGAGAGAGGACUUCCAGCUGUCAUUGGCAACUUUAUUUCGAAACAGCUUCCAUUUCCAUCAUUGUCCUAUGACAUGGUUCACUGUGCUCAAUGUGGAAUCAUUUGGGAUAGCAAAGAUGGGCUGUUUCUUAUUGAAAUUGACCGUUUACUCAAGCCUGGUGGUUACUUUGUCUUAACCUCACCUACAACCCAGCAGCAGGAUAGUACUACCAAUACAAAGAACGGAAUUACAUCUAGUUCACUGGAAGGAUUCACUAAGAAGCUCUGUUGGUCUCUUUUGGCACAGCAAGAAGAGACGUUUAUUUGGCAGAAGACAGCUGAUUCUCAGUGUUAUACAUCCAGCAGUCAGGGUGAGAUACCAGUUUGUAAAGGAAAUGAGAUGCAAAUGUACUACCAACCACUUGCACACUGUAUAUCUGGGACAACGAGUCGCCGGUGGGUUCCAAUUCAUAGCAAAUCUGAUCAUCUGAACUCAACUGAGCUUGAAAUUCAUGGGCUCCAUCCUGAUGAUUUCUUCGAGGAUUCAAACUUCUGGAAAUUAGCUCUGAGAAAUUAUUGGUCUUUGCUAUCACCCUUGAUUUUCUCUGACCAUCCGAAAAGGCCAGGAGAUGAUGAUCCAUUACCUCCAUAUAAUAUGGUGCGUAAUGUCAUGGACAUGAAUGCUCAUUAUGGCGGUCUUAGUGCUGCAUUAAUGGAGGCAAGAAAAGCCGUAUGGGUGAUGAAUGUGGUUCCUCUUGGGGCACGUAAUACACUUCCUCUCAUACAUGAUCAAGGUUUUGCCGGUGUUCUGCAUAACUGGUGUGAACCCUUCCCUACAUAUCCCCGAACGUAUGAUUUGCUCCAUGCAAAUGGGCUCCUUUCCCAUAUUGCUUCACAAAAAUGCAGCAUGUUUGAACUACUUCUGGAGAUGGAUCGUAUUUUAAGGCCUGAGGGAUGGAUUAUUCUUUCUGAUACAUUGGGUACAAUAGAGAAAGCACGUACAUUAGCUGCCCAAAUCCGCUGGGAAGCCAGGGUGAUCGACCUCCAGAAUGGAAGUGACCAGCGACUACUUGUAUGCCAAAAACCAUUCGUGAGGAAGUGAUAUUCUGCAAAAUGCAUAACUUCACCAAUCCAAUGGUUGUCCAGUCCUUUUUAACACUGGCCACAAGCUGCGCGUUGACGUCUGAAUCUCGUGGUCCUCGCAUAAUAUGGUGCUCACAAAGCUGAAACUAAAGUAUUUGGAAGCUGAUGAAUAUAGAGAGUGCUUUUGUUUCAUCAAGUAGUUAACAGUACACAACAGAAGAUUUUUGACCUUUUUCUAUUUUUUUUUUUUCAAUAUUUAUGUAACAAUUCUUUCAUCUUAUUUUUUUUUUCAAUUUUGAAAUUCAUUCUGAAUUUUGUAAUUGAAUUAUGUUUUGUACUGAGGAACUACCCUUUACUGAGAGCAAAUGUUCUAUAUUGGAUCAAUCAUAAAGAUGACACUUAACCAAAUUCUUCAAGAA